rnacentral:rRNA from 1 species
UACGUAGGGGGCUAGCGUUAUCCGGAAUUACUGGCGUAAAGGGUGCGUAGGUGGUUUUUUAAGUCAGAAGUGAAAGGCUACGGCUCAACCGUAGUAAGCUUUUGAAACUGAAAAACUUGAGUGCAGGAGAGGAGAGUAGAAUUCCUAGUGUAGCGGUGAAAUGCGUAGAUAUUAGGAGGAAUACCAGUAGCGAAGGCGGCUCUCUGGACUGUAACUGACACUGAGGCACGAAAGCGUGGGGAGCAAACAGG